rnacentral:lncRNA from 1 species
UACAGGGUAUUAACUCGAUCGCUAUUACGAUUCAUUUUCCGACCGAUCAAUAUAUCCAAUGGAUGUUUAAGUGCCACCCACAUUAGGGUUAUACUUUGUCGUUCGUCGUUAAAUCGAUGGAUGUUUAAGUAUCGCACUUUGUCGUUCGUUGUGAGAAUUUGAUCUCGUGAGUUAUCGUAAUUGUUGUAUUAAGUUACCUACCUAGUUCGUAUGCACUAGGUUACAAGGCUAAAUCAAUAGGCUAAGCUCUGCCUGUGUAAAUCUGCAAUAUAUCAAGGCUUAUCUGUAGACCAAACUUUGGCCGUAUGAAUCUGCAUGAUUAUAAAGUAAUUACAGUACAUUGGAAUAAGAAUUGGAUCCGGCACCGAAGGCAUCAAGAAGUGGCUUAUUUUAUUAAUUAAAUCAAAUUAAGAAAAUAUUGUUUUUAUUAAAAGCUACCUUUGAAACAAUGGAAUU